GAGGCAGUAUCAGAGGAUACGAACUGCACUCUGCGUAUGAAUUAACUUUAGCGUUUGAAAUUCAUGAAUCAUUGGAUUUACCUUCAUAACUGUGUUAUCGGUUACGUUGGAUUCUGCUCUGAGCCGUAAGGACCGAGACAGAAGG
rfam:Paenibacillus wynnii strain DSM 18334 unitig_3_1r, whole genome shotgun sequence.